rnacentral:rRNA from 1 species
UACGUAGGGUGCGAGCGUUAAUCGGAAUUACUGGGCGUAAAGCGUGCGUAGACGGUUAUUUAAGUCGGGUGUGAAAGCCCCGGGCUCAACCUGGGAAUUGCAUUCGAGACUGAAUAGCUAGGGUACGGUAGAGGGAAGCGGAAUUUCCGGUGUAGCGGUGAAAUGCGUAGAUAUCGGAAGGAACAUCAGUGGCGAAAGCGGCUUCCUGGACCAGUACCGACGUCAGGCACGAAAGCGUGGGGAGCAAACAGG